rnacentral:rRNA from 1 species
GCGAUAAGCGCCGGUAAGGUGAUAUGAACCGUUAUAACCGGCGAUACCCGAAUGGGGAAACCCAGUGUGACUCGUCACACUAUCAUUAACUGAAUCCAUAGGUUAAUGAGGCGAACCGGGGGAACUGAAACAUCUAAGUACCCCGAGGAAAAGAAAUCAACCGAGAUUCCCCCAGUAGCGGCGAGCGAACGGGGAGGAGCCCAGAGCCUGAAUCAGCAUGUGUGUUAGUGGAAGCGUCUGGAAAGGCGCGCGAUACAGGGUGACAGCCCCGUACACAAAAGCGCAUGUGCUGUGAGCUCGAUGAGUAGGGCGGGACACGUGGUAUCCUGUCUGAAUAUGGGGGGACCAUCCUCCAAGGCUAAAUACUCCUGACUGACCGAUAGUGAACCAGUACCGUGAGGGAAAGGCGAAAAGAACCCCGGCGAGGGGAGUGAAAAAGAACCUGAAACCGUGUACGUACAAGCAGUGGGAGCACCCUUUGGGUGUGACUGCGUA